GACGAACGCUGGCGGCGUGCCUAAUACAUGCAAGUCGAGCGCAGGAAGACGUUCUGAACCCUUCGGGGGGACGACGGUGGAAUGAGCGGCGGACGGGUGAGUAACACGUAAAGAACCUGCCCAUAGGUCUGGGAUAACCACGAGAAAUCGGGGCUAAUACCGGAUGUGUCAUCGGACCGCAUGGUCCGCGGAUGAAAGGCGCUCCGGCGUCGCCCAUGGAUGGCUUUGCGGUGCAUUAGCUAGUUGGUGGGGUAACGGCCCACCAAGGCGACGAUGCAUAGCCGACCUGAGAGGGUGAUCGGCCACACUGGGACUGAGACACGGCCCAGACUCCUACGGGAGGCAGCAGUAGGGAAUCUUCCACAAUGGACGAAAGUCUGAUGGAGCAACGCCGCGUGAACGAUGAAGGCUUUCGGGUCGUAAAGUUCUGUUGUAAGGGAAGAACAAGUGCCGCAGGCAAUGGCGGCACCUUGACGGUACCUUGCGAGAAAGCCACGGCUAACUACGUGCCAGCCGCCGCCGUAACAC
rnacentral:rRNA from 1 species